rnacentral:misc_RNA from 1 species
UUAACUUGUUUGUUUUUGUCUCAGAGAUUCCAGUAAUACAGAGGGUUUCGUACCUCCGGCGGGCGCCCCGCCGGCCCCGGGCGACCGGGUCCGGAGGGCAGCGGCGGCCCGGUGAGGGGCCCCCGCGCCGCCGAAGCAACUUGGAGGAGUUCGCGAUGGUUUGAAGCAGCCUUUCGGCCUCUUGUAAUGAUCCCUCCGCUGGUUCACCAACGGAGA